rnacentral:tRNA from 3 species
GGCCCGGUAGCUCAGCUGGAUAGAGCACCAGCCUCCGAAGCUGGGGGUCGCGCGUUCGAAUCGCGCCCGGGUCACCA